GGAAAAACCAGAAUUUCAGUUUUGGUCAAGUUUAGUUUAAGGAAGUGGGCAGCCAUCCAGUUAGAAACAGCUGAGAGGCAGUCAGAGACAAUAGUCAACAGGGACGGGGAGAGAUCAGGAGAGGACAGGUAGAUUUGCAUGUCAUCUGCAUAGAAAUGAUAUUGGAAGCCAAAGGAGCUAAUGAGUUUACCAAGGGAGGCAGUAUAGAUGGAAAACCGUAGAGGACCAAGGACUGAACCUUGGGGGAAACCAACAGAGAGGAGUUGGGGAGAAGAAUCAGAGCCAGAGAAAGAAACACUGAAAGAGCGCUGGGAGAGGUAGGAGGAGCACCAGGAGAGAGCAAUAUCUUGUAGACCGAUAUUGCGGAGGAUGAGAAGAAGCUGUUAAUGAUCAACGGUGUCAAAAGCCGCAGACAGGUCAAGGAGAAUUAGGAUAGAGUAGCAACCACGAGAUUUUGC